ensembl:lncRNA
AUGGCCCAGCCCAAUGCUCUGAUUUUACAUGGCCUUUUUUGUUCCCUGUGUCCUAGGAGUGGCCAUGUACUUAGUCUCACAGAGCUGUGUACCUCUCCUGCGCCAGGCUGGGAACCACCUAACACGACUGCCUUGUGUACAGAGUGGUCUGGAAGCCUGCGCCGGCUGUGGAGGCUAGAGGGGGAGAGCAGGAUGGGGACGAAGGCACCAGACACCACCUCUAUGCUCAGGGCUCGCUCACGAGCACUUGCUGAGUCCACCCUCUGCAGGAACAAAUCACACCCGACAGCCAGCAAACAGCACCACAGAGACCUCCACAGCCUUCACUACUUGGGCUGGAGAAGUUCUCCAACAUCUAAGCCACCUCUGCCCAGCUGUAAUUCAGGACGGCUCUAUCUCAUCUUACCCAGCAGAGGCACAGAGAGCAGGUACCUGUUCCAACUGAUUGCAUUUUGGAGAUGCUGGUCUCACUCACCCGAACACAGAGGGGUCCCAGAAGGGUAG